rnacentral:rRNA from 1 species
GAUGAACGCUAGCUACAGGCUUAACACAUGCAAGUCGAGGGGCAGCACAGUGUAGCAAUACAUGGGUGGCGACCGGCGCACGGGUGCGUAACGCGUAUCCAACCUUCCCGAUACUCAGGGAUAGCCUUCCGAAAGGGAGAUUAAUACCUGAUGGUGUUUCAAUUCCGCAUGUUAAUGAAACUAAAGAUUUAUCGGUAUCGGAUGGGGAUGCGUGACAUUAGAUAGUAGGCGGGGUAACGGCCCACCUAGUCUACGAUGUCUAGGGGUUCUGAGAGGAAGGUCCCCCCACACUGGAACUGAGACACGGUCCAGACUCCUACGGGAGGCAGCAGUGAGGAAUAUUGGUCAAUGGUCGAGAGACUGAACCAGCCAAGUCGCGUGAGGGAAGACUGCCCUAUGGGUUGUAAACUGCUUUUAGUUGGGAAUAAAAAGAGGGACGUGUCCCUAAUUGUAUGUACCAUCAGAAAAAGGACCGGCUAAUUCCGUG